AUUGAACGCUGGCGGCAUGCCUUACACAUGCAAGUCGAACGGCAGCACGGGAGCAAUCCUGGUGGCGAGUGGCGAACGGGUGAGUAAUAUAUCGGAACGUGCCCAGUCGUGGGGGAUAACGUAGCGAAAGCUACGCUAAUACCGCAUACGAUCUAUGGAUGAAAGCGGGGGAUCGCAAGACCUCGCGCGAUUGGAGCGGCCGAUAUCAGAUUAGGUAGUUGGUGAGGUAAAGGCUCACCAAGCCGACGAUCUGUAGCUGGUCUGAGAGGACGACCAGCCACACUGGGACUGAGACACGGCCCAGACUCCUACGGGAGGCAGCAGUGGGGGAAUUUUGGACAAUGGGCGCAAGCCUGAUCCAGCAAUGCCGCGUGCAGGAUGAAGG
rnacentral:rRNA from 1 species